rnacentral:lncRNA from 1 species
GGAAAACACUGGGUCCCCCGACAGUGACAGAACUGAGGCAGCAGCUCUGGAUAUUCAAGUUGGUAGCUGUUCCUUGGAGUGGAGCUGCAUCAUCUGUAAAUGCAAAGAUGAAGGUACCUAGAGCUCACGCUUCUGAUUGUGCCCUUUGGUACAGAUUGAAGUGACAUCCAUUACCAGAAAAAACAAUCAUUAACAAAAGCCAAAGUCCAAAACUAAGCCUUUAACUGAAGAAAA